CUUUUUAAAAUAAGGUAUUCUCAUCUAGCCAACUUUUUAUUUUUGAUAAUUAUUGGGUUGUUGGUUUAGUAAUAAUAAGGUGUCUUUCUAAAAUUUGACAGUAAAUUUGUUCCUGUAUGUUUUUAUAUUAGUAUAGUGUUAUUAACUGUCUGCUUCUGUAUUGACACUGGUAUAGAUUCAAGGUUUGUUGUAUUGACCCCCAGACACGUACAUGCAUGAACAUUUGAUAAAUAUAAGUUAUUUGAAAAGA
rnacentral:lncRNA from 1 species